UGAAUGCCUUGGAGUGGAGACUUUCUACUAGUUUCCUUUCUUAUACAUGCAUGAUGAGCUAAUUCAUUGCAAGGUAUCCAUUGUUGAACCAGGAGAGUAACAAGAGUUGCUGAGGUCAUAUUCGAAUCAUUGAUAUGAUUAGCAUAUACCCCACACUGAAGCUCCUCAUGAAGCUCCAAUCCUUUCAAGUGGUUAUGGUUGAGAAAAUGGGACUUCCUGAUGGAUUGGAUUCUGGUACAUCUAAAGGUUAUGGUGAUGUUCUACGUUGUUGUCGGACGUGGAGUAAGAUUGCAAGACGGAUUGCCACUCUUGAGUUUGACCGUGAUAGGAAAUCGAUGGGAGUUAUAGUGAGUUCCAGCUCAAGAAGAAAGUCAUUGCUUGUAAAGGCCCUACACCAUAUUCUGUCCAGAUUUGACACACUUUUAGGAAAAUGAGCUUUUGCAUCAAAGUAAAGGGAGCAUUUAAUGCCAGAAAUCAAACCUUUUGCAUCAAAGAAAAGAGCUUGAAGUCACUUCUUGGGACUCCAUAUGCCAGGUGACAGAUGGAUCUAGUGGCAUUCACCAGGCUUCUCCACAAACACAUCAGAGAUCCUCUUUGGGAAGUCAUGAAAUGCAACCUUUUAAUCGGGGGGAAUUUAGUGCUGUUCUAGGAAAAAAACCUGAACCUUGUACUGCUUUUUAUUCUUCUUACCAGUGCAGGUAACUCAUGUUCAUUGAAUGAUAAAUUUUAGUGAAGGAAUGCAUUUUCAAAAUUUUGGCAUAUUUAUGAAGGGCUGUAGGCUAGGGUUGCCUAAUUGUUAAGUGUUUUUGUAUGGGACAUGGACAUUCAACACACCACAGAUAUCUGAAAUGCAGUCAAAGUAUUUGCACAAUCAACAUUAAAUUGCAUUUCUUUUGUAGAACAUUAAAUAUUUGAGAUGGAUAUAGCCUCUUAAAUUAAGUUGUUGGUUAUAGUAAAAUUUCUGUUGAACUUGGAACUUCUAUGGGUAAAGUGACAUUUUGUUUUUACAUGUUUCAUGUCAUGGCAGAGGUAUUUAAUGUUAAGACAUUUGAAGGGGUGUGAUUGGUCGGACUUUAUCUUUUGUAAGACUAGAACAAUCUCUGCAAAUAGUUUGUUUAUUCAUAUGCUUCUAGUGGUGUCUGAAUUAAUUUGUGUUUUUAUUUUUUAGGUUAGAAAUUUUUUGGAGAGAUGCAAAAUAUGGUCAAAGAAUUCAAAGACUUAG